ACACAUCAGAGUGUGUUUAGUUCAUCUGGGCUGGUGAGUUCCAGUGAUGAAAGCCUGGUGCUAAUGGAGGCGAGGUCACCGGUUCAAUCCUCAUAGGACCCAGUUCACUUACAAGAGAAAAAACACUACUCAAGAACCAGAGACACCUCCUGACCCCAGUCACUGACCACAAGAAGGAUGGGGUGAAAACGAUGGCUGACCCAGGGCAAAACCAUCUGAUAAACAACUCAGACAGCACACCCCCAACCCCCAGCAGGAGAAGCCAGCACCUUCUAGUUUAAGGAUUUUAUAAAACCGCUUUUAUAAAAAUCCCUGCGGACAAGUUCACAGUAGCUGACUCCCCAAGAUGAGACGUGCUGCUUUAGCGGCUGCGGGAGUUUUCUGCUUGUGUUUAUAUUUUCAGAAGGGGGCUGAAGAGCUAUGCCCAGACUGGAGCACGAGUCUGCUUGCUGGUGUGUUUCUCAGUCCAGUUUGAUUUUUUAAAGGUACCCUCCAUGGGACAGAACUCUGCUUACAAACUUUAAAACUGGAUGAUGCAAAAAUUACCUGCACAGCAGAGGAGGACAACGAACCAUAGGGGCUCAAGAUCUGCAUAUUCAACAAGCUUCCCAAGGGAUUUUGAUGGAUUCAGAACCACCCUCUACAAAUCCCUUCUAACCACAACAAAAUGGAUGGGCUGAGUGUUCAUAUUGCCUCACCUUUCAUCAAAGCACCAUCUGGGAACCAGAACUUGGCAUUUGAGAAAAAUCAGAGAUGACUAAGAAUAAGAACAAUCUCAUCAGGAGAAGAGCCGUUGAUCUCCUGUUCCUCUUCUAGAAGAAUUGAGAACAGAAAGGAUCAUUAAACAUCACCUACUCCAAAUGCAUUCGUUUCCAGAACUCCACA
rnacentral:lncRNA from 1 species